rnacentral:rRNA from 1 species
UGAGGAAUAUUGGUCAAUGGGCGAGAGCCUGAACCAGCCAAGUCGCGUGAGGGACGAAUGGUCUAUGGCCUGUAAACCUCUUUUGUCAAGGAAGAAUAAAUCGCACGGGUGCGAUCUUGCCAGUACUUGACGAAUAAGCAUCGGCUAACUCCGUGCCAGCAGCCGCGGUAAUACGGGGGAUGCGAGCGUUAUCCGGAUUUAUUGGGUUUAAAGGGCGCGUAGGCGGGACGUCAAGUCAGCGGUAAAAGACUGCAGCUAAACUGUAGCACGCCGUUGAAACUGGCGCCCUCGAGACGAGACGAGGGAGGCGGAACAAGUGAAGUAGCGGUGAAAUGCAUAGAUAUCACUUGGAACCCCGAUAGCGAAGGCAGCUUCCCAGGCUCGAUCUGACGCUGAUGCGCGAGAGCGUGGGUAGCGAACAGG